AUUUUCAGUGACAGAGAACCAGAACGCUGAUACUAAAACAAGUCCCACGGACGUGACGGAGAAAAUAAGUCCCACAUGAGUCCUACGUGAGUCCCACAGAACCAGAAUAAGAUUGCAGGGAAACAAGCCUUGUUACAAGGUUUGAGGGUCUCUGCUAGAAUCAUGUGGACCCCAGUGUAACAAAUCUAUGGAAAGAGAGAAAAUCUCAGCUCAAGGGUCAACAUGUCUUUAUUCCAAGAAAGAGUGUACAUAUGCCAGAAUCAUAUGGACCCCAGACUGGCCCUGGUGAUUCCGUUAAGAAAAAAAGAGGAAAAAUCAGUGCUUGUGCUCAUUGGUCAUUGGACAAAGGGUGUAUGCCAGAAUUUUUUCAAGAACAGUCUGAAUCUGACAUGGAAAAAAUGAAGAAAAACAGCCUUCCUGUUUAUAAAUCUACAUUCUGACAAAGGAUCAUUUCCUUGAGAUAGGUGGAACCAACAGUCAAAUACAAACACUUUUAAGAAAAGUAAAAAUCUGGCUCAGGUAAGAAAGAAAUUCAGGAGUUCUUAAAUUGCCCUUGGAGUUCUUGGAUUGCAUCAAACUGCUAAAAGACCUCAACAAAAACAGCGUCUUGAAAAUAAAAAUGAAAAUAUUCAGUGAAAAAAAAAUGAUGAAAGAGCCACUAAAAAUCUUCAAGCCUUUGAGCUGAAAUCUGGAAGUCAAUCUGUGGACUUUACUAGUAUGUCUUACUAAGUCAUCAUUUGUGUAUAAUAAAUACACUAAACUGUAAACACUUGUUAAAAUGUGUAUAAUUUUUAGAUAUAAUUUGUAGCUCACAGACUUCAAUAGUUUCAUGUAAUUUAAGUAAUAAUGAAAAUUUCCUGUUGUCUAGCUAGAUUAGAAACUAUUAUUGUCCAAUUUUGGAUAUUGUGAAAUAAUUCAGCUGUUGUUCAACUGAAUAUGAUAAAACUGUGGAUGAAAAUAAUUUGAUUUUUGUACCUUUGAAUGUAUUGAAUUAAUUUGUAAAAGCUGUUAUGAUACAAUGUUUGAUAUUUUAUAAAAGUUUUUAGCAUAUGCAAUCAAUA